rnacentral:rRNA from 1 species
CCUACGGGUGGCUGCAGUGAGGAAUAUUGGUCAAUGGGCGGGAGCCUGAACCAGCCAAGCAGCGUGAGGGAAGAAGGUCCUGCGUAUCGUAAACCUCUUUUGUCAGGGAACAAAGGCGGGGACUAGUCCCCGGAUGAGGGUACCUGAAGAAAAAGCAUCGGCUAACUCCGUGCCAGCAGCCGCGGUAAUACGGAGGAUGCGAGCGUUAUCCGGAUUUAUUGGGUUUAAAGGGAGCGUAGGUGGAUUGUUAAGUCAGUUGUGAAAGUUUGCGGCUCAACCGUAAAAUUGCAGUUGAAACUGGCAGUCUUGAGUACAGUAGAGGUGGGCGGAAUUCGUGGUGUAGCGGUGAAAUGCUUAGAUAUCACGAAGAACUCCGAUUGCGAAGGCAGCUCACUGAACUGCAACUGACACUGAUGCUCGAAAGUGUGGGUAUCAAACAGGAUUAGAUACCCUUGUAGUC